CCACCUUGCUGACAGAAAAGCACUGUGAUGAAUUCCCUGUUUCUCCUGAGCUGUCUAAGCUCCACCUGGUUUUUUAUAGUGUACUCACACAUGAUACUGGAGGAAAAGCUAUACACCAAUACGUCUUCUUCCUCGAGUCUACAGCAUGGGAGCCUGUCAGAUGCACCACCCAUCGUCAUUGUAGAGUUACCCAAAACCGCAAAGAAGAAAAAAAACAAGAAACCAAGAAAGAACAAAUUCAGCAUCAAAAACAAACGUCCAUCUCCUCCCCCCAACUGCGUGCCAUUGUGGGGAAGCUGCAAAACCCCCAAUAAUGUGUGCUGUGAGUACUGCGCUUUCUGCCACUGCCGCCUCUUCAAGACUGUGUGCUAUUGUCGAAUGGGAAACCCGCGGUGUUGAAGACAUAACAGAGGAUAUUGCCAUAUUCACAAGAAGAGAAAGUCACUUUUA